rnacentral:rRNA from 1 species
UACAGAGGUCCCGAGCGUUGUUCGGAUUCAUUGGGCGUAAAGGGUGCGUAGGCGGCGGGGAAAGUCUGAUGUGAAAUCCUGGGGCUCAACCCGGAAAUGGCAUUGGAAACUACCUUGCUGGAGGAUUUGAGGGGGGAUUGGAAUACUUGGUGUAGCAGUGAAAUGCGUAGAUAUCAAGUGGAACACCAGUGGCGAAGGCGAAUCCCUGGAAAAUACCUGACACUGAGGCACGAAAGCUAGGGGAGCAAACAGG